UUUUUACUAAUUUAUAUUGGAUAUUCACAAAGAGGUCAGAUAAGGCAUGCACAUGUUUACAAAAUUAAGAUAUCAGUAUCAAAAUUUCUGUUACUUACACGUUUGCCUAAGUAACUUUUAAAAACAGAGAUUACUCAUAUAUAUAUAAUUUACUACAAAGUUUUUUUUUGGAAAAGAUCAAAAUUGUAGAUUUCGAAAACACUGGAACUAGAUAUAAGAAAAACAUAAUGGGCAAUUAGACUGGAAGGAAUGUGUGAAACGGCAAGAGAGGACAUGUAAGGGUUUGCAAUGCCAAGCAGAUACACACAGAACAGUCAUAGACAUUUGAGCUGGCAAUCACUCUUUUGAUGCAAGCAUACGAAGAUGUUGGGUCUUGAAUUGGUUUUCCUUUCGCUCAAUUCGAAACAGUUGAAUGAGGGCUAUGGAACUGCAGAAGCACUCCAGAAUCACAAGGCAAAAUGGCACAAAU
rnacentral:lncRNA from 1 species